rnacentral:lncRNA from 1 species
UUCUCCUCCACUUAGGUUGUUUAUCUUUUUCUCAUGCAUCCUUUGGUGUAGGUGUGCGGAUUUAGUCUUUUGGAGCUUUGGUUUCUUCUAUUCAGAGUUUUGUGGUUCUUCGCUGGCAUGAACGCCUUGUAUGUGCUUGUUUAGUUUGUGAGGUGUUUCUUAUCUCUUAGUUGGUGGUUGUGUUUCCGGUGCUUUAGACAUGCGUAUUUUUGUUUUGUGGUGACUUUGUUCUUCCGAUGAUUAUUCUUUCCCUAUAUUUUUGUUUUGUGGUGACUUUGUUCUUCCGACGAUUAUUCUUUCCCUAGCCCGCUUUUUUGGUUUUUUUUGUGCUAGUGCUUGAUUUCGAUCCUUUGUGUUCCGAGGAUUGAUUUAUCUCAUAUUUUAUCUUUUUAUCUUUUUCUGAAAUCUGUUUGUUCUAGUGAAGACACUAUAUGGUAAGAUGAGAUAGGUUAGUUUUCUUUGUUGAUCUUUUUCAGCUCCAAAUCUUUAUUGAGUUAGUGUUACUAUGGUAUUUUACUUUUUCUCUCUAACUGUGGAAGUUUUAUGUUUAGAUUAUGUAUUGCACUCUAAUUUCUUCUUAUUAGUUUGGUCAUUUUAUAUUUUUAAU